UACGUAGGGGGCGAGCGUUAUCCGGAUUUACUGGGCGUAAAGCGCGUUAAGGCGGUUGGCAAAGUUGGUUGUGAAAUCUCAGGGCUCAACCCUGGAACUGCGACCAAUACUGGUUGACUAGAGUCCGGAAGAGGAGAGUGGAAUUCCUGGUGUAGCGGUGAAAUGCGCAGAUAUCAGGAAGAACACCCGUGGCUAAGGCGGCUCUCUAGUACGGUACUGACGCUGAGACGCGAAAGCGUGGGGAGCGAACAGG
rnacentral:rRNA from 1 species